ACACCGUGCCUAACCAGGGGCGCGGACGGCCCGGCCAGCCGGCGCCGGCCGCCCCCUGCGUUCGAUACGCAACAACGAUAACCCACACGACUCUCGGCAACGGAUAUCUCGGCUCUCGCAUCGAUGAAGAACGUAGCGAAAUGCGAUACCUGGUGUGAAUUGCAGAAUC
rnacentral:rRNA from 1 species